UUCAAUACUGCUGUAGCAAUACAAUGGUGUGCACUUUUCUCUUAGUAAGACGUUGUGAUCCAUUAGGAAUAGACUUGUCGCAUGGCUUGUCAUUGGGCUACCAAUAGGCUGGCAUUGAAGUUCAUCCAGUCGAAUGACACGAUCUUUUGGUYGUGUGUAUCGACGGGUGAGCAGUGCCGUGUACUGAUGUAGCUGUCUGAUGGGUUUUAAAGGCCAUAUCAUAGAUGCUUGUCAUCUCCCGUUUUCGCGGAUGGGUUUGUAGGAUAUGUGCCCGAUCAACAACGGUUUCAUUUGGGAUACCUUUUGGACCCGUCUUGAAACACGGACCAAGGAGUCUAUCUAGUAUGCGAGUAAAUGGGAUUAACGAACUAAACCUAUUUGCGUAAAUAACUUGACUGUUUUUUAAUGGGACUACGUGCACAUAUAUCUGUUAAAGAGUGUGCACCUCCAUCCCGGGGUAUUUUCAUCACAUAUAUGGGCAACUAUAUAUAGAAAAUAUACCAUGAGCAUACUGGACAUGACCCGAAAGAUGGUGAACUAUGCCUGAUCAGGUUGAAGUCAGGGGAAACCCUGAUGGAGGACCGAAGCAAUUCUGACGUGCAAAUCG
rnacentral:rRNA from 1 species